GUAGUAUUCUAACAGUCACACUUAAGUAAAGAGACUACAUUUAGGUGCAAGAAGCUUCAGACUGAUUAUUUUGCAUGUUUACUUGAGGCAUUUAGUGCAUUCAUGGAAGGCAGAGCUCUCGGUCCCUUUAUCCCAUAUCCUAGUGUGCCUUGCUUCUUUAAAUCCCCUCUCCCACGUUUAUCCUCUCAUUACUCCAUUUUUUUCUUCACUGAACCUUUUUUCUUUCUUCCUCUUGAUUCUCUGUCUGCUUACUCAUUCUAGUUUGUCUUUGCAAUUCUCGGUUUCUCUCACACUUAGUUACUGCCUAUUUUAUGUCAUAGUUAUUUCUUUCUUUUAUAAUGUUAUCUUUCCUUGUUUACAUUUUUCUCUUUACUUGCUUUCAUCAAUGUUGCCCUUUCCUUUUUUCAUUUUCCUUCCUAGAUCAUUCCCCUAAUCUCAGUUUUUUUGGGGCCUACGAUUUGCCUUCACUACUCUGCAUGCAAUACAACUCUUUGGAUUCCCAUUCCCUUUCUUCCAGGUUAGAGCAGUGAAUUAGUUUUCUAUCACUGCAUAAUAAAUUACCCCAAGACAUAGCAGCUUAAAGCAACAGUUAUUAUCUCAUUCAGUUUCUGAGGGUUAGGAAACUGGGAGUGGUUUAGUUGGGUGGCUCUGGCUUGAAGUCUCGCAGGAGGUUGCAGUAAAGAUUUUGGCCAGGGCUGCAGUCAUCUGAAAGCUUGACUGGGUUGGAGAAUCUGCCUCCAAG
rnacentral:lncRNA from 10 species